UGGCGGACGGGGGAGUAAUGUCUGGGAAACUGCCCGAUGGAGGGGGAUAACUACUGGAAACGGUAGCUAAUACCGCAUAACGUCGCAAGACCAAAGAGGGGGACCUUCGGGCCUCUUGCCAUCGGAUGUGCCCAUAUGGGAUUAGCUUGUAGGUAAGGUAACGGCUUACCUAGGCGACGAUCCCUGGCUGGUCUGAGAGGAUGAUCAGCCACACUGGAACUGAGACACGGUCCAG
rnacentral:rRNA from 1 species